AUCUAACAACUACACUUAAAUCGUAAACCUAAAUUUUAAAAUUCCAAAACCUAAGGGUCUAUUUGUUUGGAAAUAGAACAUUUUCUGGAAAAGCUUUUCAGCCUUUUCCAUUGUUUGUUUGGCUGAAAAUAUUUUCCCAAGAGAAAAUCAAUUACAAAAUAUGGGAAAAGAACCCCUUAAUCUUGGAAAAUGUCUUACCGUUUCUAAUUCGGUAAGACAUUUUCAGGAAAAUUAGAAGCCAACACCGAUUUUCUGCUUCCCCUUCCCCUUCCCCCAUCUUUGACACCUGAUCUUCUGCUUGCCGUCAGCCAACACUGAUUCUCAAAACCAGACACCGGCGUUCAUCAAAGCUUUUACCCAUUUUCACCUUUCGUUGUCAAAAUCUGCACUGGCAUUCAUCUUCUUCUCUCGAAGAUUCGAUCAUAGUGCUUAUUGUUACUUUAAAAUUUAUUUACUGAAAGCAUUUGUGGAUUGCAACGGAUGGGUGCACUUUGUGAAUAUAAGAUAUUGUGUCUAGUUAAAAGCUGAUCUUUGUGCAUUUGAAUCAAGUGCUUACCAUACUCUUCAUUCCAUGAAGCUUAUGGUAAUGAUUGAGCUAAAAGUCGCUCGAGCCACUUUAAAUCCCCAGGCUGUUUAUCUUAUGGUGGCAACUCAUUUAAUUCCUAUGAUGGUCAUAAUCGAAACAUGGGAGCUUAUAGAACUGAGGGAUGGGAUACUGAGAGACGGGGAUCUGAUUUGCAAUCUGGCAAUCAGUUUGAAUACCAUGCCUUCCCUCAAACGUUAGAUGAGUUGGAGUUGGAAUUUAAGAUAGAGGCAAUGGAACUUGGAAGAAUUCGUGAUAAGGAAGAAGAUGAAGAGAAUUAUAAGCAUCGAAAGGAUAGGGGAGAGGUGUUCCACCUAUGUGGCUUACAAAGGAGAUCGGCAUAUUGAAUUUCAAAGCUCCACUGGGCAACAAGUUGAAAGGGAAGACAUUUAUAUCCACUGUUUACAGCUUAACUUCAAUAUGAUAUGGAAAGAGAGAUACAACAUAUUGGUCAACCAAGCCUAGCUACUCUACCACACUCGAAGUGGUUGGUAGCUUAAAGGAGGUAGUAAGUGGGGACUUGCAAGGGUAAUGAAUAUCGUUGCUGAUCAAGUAAACACAAAGCUCCAUGCAACAUGGGUAGUGUGCAGUCCUAUUAUCUAUACAUGCACAGCUUCAUAUGUAGCAAAUUUUUUCUUCUUUAACAUAUGAAUUCAAUAUAUCCAAACAAAAAUGUGCAAGUUCAAAUCAAUUAGAUUGUUACUAAUCAAUUAGAUAGCAUAUCUACUAUUUGAGAGCGCUUUUUUUUUCCUAUUUUUUAUUUGUUACAUUAGUCUAGUGUACGAUGAAAUGAAUACGAGACAUAUAUAUACACAAAAUAUGAUUAUCAUACAUGUAAUUAUCAAGUAAAUAUUGAUAUAUAUUGGACAGGAUAUUAAUAUUCAAUAUUUGAGUAACAUCGAAAAAAAAAGAUACCUGUUUCUAAUAUUUCUAGUUAUUUAAUAAGAGAAAAAUGAAGAAGGAAUUUACAAAGUUGAUAGGCUAGAUUCUAGAGCCGUAUGCGACUGAAAAGGGUGAAGUCCCCCUCUUCCGAGCUUGGUGGUGCAGGAAGUUAGGGACAACCCUGACUUGGUGGUUCACAAGAUUUAUGUCCUGGGCCACAUGAGCUAGGUCCACCAUGAAGAGACCAUGAGCCCUUCAUUUCUCCCAUCAAGGUUCCCAAUUUCAUUCCUCGGGCUCUGGUUGAUUGAGCUGCCAUUACAGCAUCAUCAGUCUUGAAGAUGACAAGAAUGCUCAAGACGAAGACAAGAAAAGCAAUAACCUUCACCAAACAUAGCUUUCCACCCAUUGUUUUUGUUAGAAGAUGAUAUAUAUAGAAGCAGUUUGGCUGGUUUUACAUGAUAUAUAUCUGUGUGUGUGGUGUAACGGGUAAGCCAUAAGUGGGCAAUAUAUAUAUAUAUUGUUCACCAAGUCGUAGUAUAUUUUCAGUAUGAACAUAUCACAGAGUUCGAUUUAAUGAGUUUUAUGUGGAGUUCCGUAAUAA